AAAUGUUAAAUAGAUUUUCUAUGUUUGGUUACGGUCCAAGAAGACUUACAUUUU
rnacentral:tRNA from 1 species